CCUAUGUCCAUAUUUAAAGCGCUGAACAAAUGUAAUGACAUUCGGAGAGCGGGCGGUGGCACGCCGCCGGCGCCAGAUGUAUUUAUCAUUAAUGAAGAAGGCGUAAGAGGAUAAAAUUGUCCGUUGCAGAAGGAGCAGGGAAGGGGCGAUGAAAGAAAAUCUGUAGGUCUGAUCGUGGAUGGCGCCACCUAGAGGUGGAGGCAGACAGUGGACGGUUCAACUUCCAUAGGACAAGCUGAAAAAGACCAACCUUCUCAAGUAGACAACCUGGCACAGAUAAAAAGAACUACCAAGAGAACAGUCAAAGGUUUGAACUAGAAGUUUUGGACCUACAACCUUGGUUCCAGAAGCUCCAACCAAGCCAUUAUCAAGUAAUAAACCCCCCAAUCAUGGCCUACAACAACACUUUCAUUGACCAUUGAACCCAAGUCAAGAUGUCUAUUAUGAGAUCAGCAAAAAUAUUUUUUUGACUGUGCAUGGUUGGAAAGGUUUGCCUUGGACAACUUUAAGAUUCCAUAGAAACAAUAGGAAAACGAGACAAAGGUCAUUCCCAUUCUCCACAAGUUGACAUUGCCUAUAGAUCCUAUCACCCUCACUGUGUAUUAUACAUCAUGUCCUUGGCCUUUCUUUCAAGAUAACUUUCGCAUUUACUACUUCCAUGGUACCACUUAUUACAGAUAUUUUA